UGGGGAAUAUUGCGCAAUGGGGGGAACCCUGACGCAGCCAUGCCGCGUGAAUGAAGAAGGCCUUAGGGUUGUAAAGUUCUUUCGGUAUUGAGGAAGGUUGAUGUGUUAAUAGCACAUCAAAUUGACGUUAAAUACAGAAGAAGCACCGGCUAACUCCGUGCCAGCAGCCGCGGUAAUACGGAGGGUGCGAGCGUUAAUCGGAAUAACUGGGCGUAAAGGGCACGCAGGCGGUUAUUUAAGUGAGGUGUGAAAGCCCCGGGCUUAACCUGGGAAUUGCAUUUCAGACUGGGUAACUAGAGUACUUUAGGGAGGGGUAGAAUUCCACGUGUAGCGGUGAAAUGCGUAGAGAUGUGGAGGAAUACCGAAGGCGAAGGCAGCCCCUUGGGAAUGUACUGACGCUCAUGUGCGAAAGCGUGGGGAGCAAACAGGAUUAGAUACCCUGGUAGUCCACGCUGUAAACGCUGUCGAUUUGGGGGUUGGGGUUUAACUCUGGCGCCCGUAGCUNACGUGAUAAAUCGACCGCCUGGGGAGUACGGCCGCAAGGUU
rnacentral:rRNA from 1 species